rnacentral:rRNA from 1 species
GAAGGCCUUAGGGUUGUACAGCUCUCCUUCAGGUGGGAAGAUAAUGACGAUAGUACCACCGGAGAAGAAGCCCCGGCUAACUCCGUGCCAGCAGCCGCGGUAAUAAAGAGGGGGCUAGCGUUGUUCGGAAUUACUGGGCGUAAAGCGCACGUAGGUUCGGAUCUGAAGUCAGAGGUAAAAUCCCAAUAGUCUCAACCUUGGAACUGCUACUUGGUGAAACUCCUGGUCUUGAGGUCGAGAGGGUGAGUGGUUUCCGAGUGUAGAGGUGAUAAUUCGUAGAAUAUUCGGAGGAACACCAGUGGCGAAGGCGGUCUCACUGGCUCGAUACUCCGACGCUGAGGUGCAAAGCGUGGAUAGGAGCAACCACAUAUUAGAUACCCUGGUAGUCCACGCCGUAAACGAUGAAUAGCCAGUCGUCUUGGCAGGCAUGCCUGUCGGUGACACACCUAACGGAGGUUAAGCAUUCCGCCUGGGGAGAACGGUCGCAAGAUGGAACUCAAAGGAAUUGACGGGGGCCCGCACAAGCGGUGGCCAGCAUGUGGUUUAAUUCGAAGC